rnacentral:rRNA from 1 species
GACGAACGCUGGCGGCGUGCUUAAUACAUGCAAGUCGAACGGAAAGGCCCUGCUUUUGUGGGGUGCUCGAGUGGCGAACGGGUGAGUAACACGUGAGUAACCUGCCCUUGACUUUGGGAUAACUCCAGGAAACUGGGGCUAUUACCGGAUAGGAUCUACUGCUGCAUGGUGGGGGUUGGUAAGAUUCGGCGGUUGGGGAUGGACUCGCGGCUUAUCAGCUUGUUUGUGGGGUUGUGGCUUACCAAGGCUUUGACGGGUAGCCGGCCUGAGAGGGUGACCGGCCACAUUGGGACUGAGCUACGGACCAGUAUCCUACGGGACGCAGCAGUGGGGAAUAUUGCACAAUGGGCGGAAGCCUGAUGCAGCAACGCCGCGUGCGGGAUAACGGCCUACGGGUUGUAAACCGCUUUCGACUGUGACAAAGAGUGAGUGACGGUAAUGGGUAAGAAAGCACCGGCUAACUACGUG